UAAUAGCACUACAGAAAAAACCUGUUUGAGCUCUUGGCAUUAUUUCGAAUCUUUUAAUUAUAGAAAAUUAGUAAAAAAUGAAUUAGCUUCCUGAGUUGGCAUUUAUCCUUUAUAUAAGACAAGUCAAAUGAUGAAAGCCAUCUGGCACAGCAUUAAUUUAAUUGCUGAAUUUUAUCACCCGCAUGCCAAAUUCGAAUACUCAAGCCGACCAUAAAAUAAUGUGAGUUCCAAUCUGGCAACUGAUAUGUCAUCCCGAGCUGGGCACAAGCCACAAGGAGGUGGUGAAGGAAGUGGUGCAGGCACAGGUACAGGCAGAGGUCAGAUCGUGUACAAUUAGCAAUGCCCAAAGCGGCGUGAGUCGUCAUUAACCCGUACAGCACAUAGAGAAGCAUGACGAUGGCCCGAAAGGGGGCAGGAAACAGGCAUUUCCGUUUCCGCCCGCAGGCGUGCCAAAUUGUACGAAAUUAGUACUCUGAUUUAUUUUGCAUAUUAAAUUUUGAGCCCACUGAAAAAGCAGACAUGGAGACUGGCAGCAAAAGCAA